UUAACUUAAAUUUGUAUGGAGUUGGAACAGCGCCCCUAGCGGCAAACGCAGGCAAACGUUCUAACUCCAUACAAAUUAGAGUUA
rnacentral:pre_miRNA from 1 species